UGCCAGCCGCCGCGGUAAUACGGAGGAUGCAAGCGUUAUCCGGAAUCACUGGGUUUAAAGGGUGCGUAGGCGGAUUCAUAAGUCAGGGGUGAAAUCUUUCAGCUUAACUGGAAAAUUGCCUCUGAAACUGUAAGUCUUGAAAUAUGGUGAGGUUGGCGGAAUGUGACAUGUAGCGGUGAAAUGCAUAGAUAUGUCAUAGAACACCAAUUGCGAAGGCAGCUGACUGGCCAUUAUUUGACGCUGAGGCACGAAAGCGUGGGGAGCGAACAGGAUUAGAUA
rnacentral:rRNA from 1 species